CUGGGAGCUUCCACUGGCUGCUUUCACUUGCAAGGGGUGAUGGAGCCACAGCCCCCCACGGCAAAAUUGCCACUUUAUAAGUUCAACUUGAAAUAAAGAGAGAAACUGUCCCCUUGGAUGCUUACUCAACUGCAAAGCAUAGCAAGAGCAAAGAGCGUCAGAUCAUUGCUUUGCUUGCUUUAAGGCAAGCAAUUUGCCCAGCAAUUAGGACAAGCACGAUGUGCUGAGAGCUGUUGUUUGAAGCUGCUACUUGGGAGGUGUGAAACGUUUUCCUCUGCUUUUCCUUAUGAUCUUUAGGAGAUGGUUUUCCCUGCUUGAGCUACUCAAAUGUUUGGCAUCAUCUGGUUCAGGUGGCCUGAGCACCCAGUGGUGAUCACAUCCACAUGGGGCCAGUUGUUUUCAUUCAGAGAUACAUACACUGAUGAGAGUCAAUAGGAUCAAUAUUCAAACCACAGCCUGAGCCUCAAAGGUAGGAUCUCUGUGCCAGGGAGCCAAACCCCAGGAGAAGGGGAUGCAAAGCCCUGUUGGUAUUGCUAGAAACAGGGCACAAUCUGUGGCUGCCAGGGCUGCUGUGUGGGCUAGCAUCAGGGAAUACGUACCUUGUUAUGUAUGGCCUGUUGUUUCACCUCAGACUUGGGGACUGGGAUCUCUUUUUCUGAGCCACCCUUCCCUGGUGUGGUGGCACAGGAUGAUGUGAUGGGGAGAGGAUGGCUGCCUCCAUAGGGCAGCAGAAUAGGCAGGGGAUGCCCCACUGGCAUACUGAGUCCUUUCUGCCUGUCUGUGCUGAGAGCAAGGGCUCCCCUCACCCUGUGCUCACACUUCACCUCCAACACUCUACAGUUUGGGGGUGAUUUUUUUUCCCUCUAGUACAGAACCCAGUGACUGCCUGCACCUCCAGGGUGUCAAACUGCUGCUGGUCCAUGGCUCUGCUCUGAGGCGUCCUCUCUGUUUUUCUAGGCCUUGUUGUCAAAGAUUCAUUCCCUUUUUUUUCCCAAAGCAGGCUGUUCCACUAAUAGCAAGCACCCAUCAACCAGCAGCUGAAGGCUCAGUUGCUUUGCCUAAUGCACGGAACUUUCCACUUGUGGUUUUCCUCUUUCCAGCCAAGGGAAGCGCCUGCUUUCCACAGUCUCUCGUCUGCAGAAGCAUGCGGGAAACAUCUGCCCUCCUGUGUUCAAAGUCCCCUCCAAAGAGAAGCCAAGGGUACAAUGACCUCACAGAAUUCCUUCUCCCAACAGCAUUCUUCUCAUGGGGUCAGUCACAUCUGGCACUGAUCCUGAGCAGGUCUUGGCAGCUGGAUUUACAAUGCGGAUAGAUACUGCAGAAGACAGGACUCUUCAUGGUUGAGGUCUAUUUUAUUUGCAAACACAGAAAGCCCCACCAAUGAUUUGUUAAGAGAAGAUGCUUUGGUCAUUCUCCUGCUGGGGCUUUUGAAACCAUGCACUACUUCCCAGGCCCAGAAUGGUCUCCCAGGUGGGACUGGGGUAUUUCAUGCGGUUGUAUAUAGGACUGGGCCCCUACCACCCCCCUCUUGUGGAACAGGGAGAAAACACAAUAUGCUGCCAGAAAUAAUGUCAAGCAUACGGCACACACCAGGAGGUGUCAACACUCCCGUUGGCCUCACAAGCAGCCCUGUCCCUUCUGCAUUGGCCAUGUAGAGAAAAUUACCCAAGCAAUUUGCUGUGGGUGUUUCAGAGCCUGUUAAUUCUGGGGCCAGGUCUCACCUACAGCACAAGUGCUUCUGCAAGUGAGUGAAGGAGCACAGCUGUGCUUGUCCUUCUGGUAGCUCCUCCCCAGUUUGUAUAACAUAUACUAGUGUUUCUCAGUUCUUCAUGAGAGAAGUUCUGUUCUUACCUAUAGGGUUAUUAUGCUAAAUUGAAAAUGAGUAUUUGACAUCUAUUAACUUUUGUGGCUUUAGGGGUUCUUUUUUUUGCCUUUUUAGCAAGGUGAUUUUUUUGGUGUUUUUUUUUUUUUUUGUGAUUUUUUUGGUUUUAUUUUUAUUUUAAAUCUCUCUCUGGUAGCCAGGGAAGUGUUUUCCACUUGCUCCAUAGCUUGCCUGAUGGUAGCUUUACUGAAACACUUAAGGAUGCAGUAGAGUGCUUGGCUGGACCGGGACUGUACCAGCCUGUGAUUUCCAGGUAUUGUCCCGCUCCUGCUGCAGAGCAAGUGAUGGGCCUUCUCCCUCUAUGACAUGCCCUUGAAGAAAUGUGUGUAUAUGUGUGGUUCUGCAGCACUCUUGCGCUGAAGCAUCAAAUGCACAGGCUGCUUUCACGAGCUGUAAAAGGGUGAGCUCAUUGCCUGUGCACUGAAGGUGCACAUGUUGCUGGCACACUUUUGCACCUAUUUUUGUUUGCUUUUUGGAGGAGAUAGUAUCCUUGCUCUUAAGCAAGUGCUGCACUCCUCCUUGCAAAUACCAGUGUGGAUCUCUGCUCCUGGGAGGAUGUGAAGGAUGUAGCACAUCCCUGCUGAAAUGGCUAUCAGUGUCGAGGAAAUGGCUCUGUGCUGGAAAUGCCUGCCUAUUGGACAUGGCAGGCUUUUGGAGGCCAUGCUGCAUCUUAUGUUGGAGGUUGACACUAAGCUGGAUGUGUACAUCUUGGCUUUCCUUGAGGCUUCAGUCUUCCCUGGGGCUACUGCUCUGUCUCCUUGUAUUUCUGGGGAAAGGAAGCUGUGGCCAACCUCAUCACAAACACAAAUUACUUGGGGGUUUUGUUGCUUUCUGGGUUGGGGUUUUGGUUGUUUUGUUUUGUUUUGUUUUUUCUUUCUGGUUUUCUGUGUUCAUUUUGAACAAUAAAACAUCUGUUCCUGAGCCCAGCA